UGGGGAAUAUUGCACAAUGGGCGCAAGCCUGAUGCAGCCAUGCCGCGUGUAUGAAGAAGGCCUUCGGGUUGUAAAGUACUUUCAGUCGGGAGGAAGGUGGUAAGGUUAAUAACCUUGGCAAUUGACGUUACCGACAGAAGAAGCACCGGCUAACUCCGUGCCAGCAGCCGCGGUAAUACGGAGGGUGCAAGCGUUAAUCGGAAUUACUGGGCGUAAAGCGCACGCAGGCGGUUGAUUGAGUCAGAUGUGAAAUCCCCGGGCUUAACCCGGGAAUUGCAUCUGAUACUGGUCAGCUAGAGUCUUGUAGAGGGGGGUAGAAUUCCAUGUGUAGCGGUGAAAUGCGUAGAGAUGUGGAGGAAUACCGAUGGCGAAGGCGGCCCCCUGGACAAAGACUGACGCUCAGGUGCGAAAGCGUGGGGAGCAAACAGG
rnacentral:rRNA from 1 species